CUGGUACGUCAACUAAGCAUGGCAGUAAGGCACUGAGCUACUAAUUGCUUUGUCUGGGCUGUUGGUGGUUUAAGGCUUUGAUAUGGCUUUUGGAAUUAAUUUGGGGAUUGUGUUCCUUUGCUCAUUGUUUGCAGAACACUCAAGUUUUACAUGGGCUCCACGUGAUGCCCAGAGACUAAGAGGCUAUGGGUUUUCUGGCUCUUCCAGAAUGGAAGUUGAGCAGAGGCAAACAGGUGGCAGCUAUCCCAGGAUCAAUUCAGACCGGCCUCUCACACUUCUGGUUCGGUCCAGAGUGAAACUACUUACCGCGGGACUGGAUACAACACACUCGGAGGCUUUGCUCCAAGCUCCCUCCAGCCAGCCCCAAGGGGCUCUGGAUCUAUCCCCAGCAGCUUUACACCUCCGCCCAGACAAAGGGUAAGAGGACCCGUGCCAAGAAUACUGACAUUAGCCUCUCUGGUUCUAUAGCCAGUGGAUCCUCUGUCAGCCACAACAAGCAUCAAACCAAGGCCAGCAGAACCUAUGGUCAAAGUGUCAUGACCCCAGUGCAUUAAGGCC